UAACACGUGAGUGACCUGCCUUUUAGACUGGAACAACUUACCGAAAGGUGAGCUAAUGCCGGAUGAGUUAUAUAAGUGCAUGUUUAUAUAGGAAAAGUUGGGGAGACCUGACGCUGAAAGAUGGACUCGCGUCCCAUUAGCUAGUUGGUAGGGUAAUGGCCUACCAAGGCGACGAUGGGUAGCCGGCCUGAGAGGGUGGCCGGCCACACUGGGACUGAGACACAGCCCAGACUCCUACGGAAGGCAGCAG
rnacentral:rRNA from 1 species